UGGGGAAUAUUGGACAAUGGGCGCAAGCCUGAUCCAGCCAUGCCGCGUGAGUGAUGAAGGCCCUAGGGUUGUAAAGCUCUUUCACCGGUGAAGAUAAUGACGGUAACCGGAGAAGAAGCCCCGGCUAACGUCGUGCCAGCAGCCGCGGUAAUACGAAGGGGGCUAGCGUUGUUCGGAUUUACUGGGCGUAAAGCGCACGUAGGCGGACUUUUAAGUCAGGGGUGAAAUCCCGGGGCUCAACCCCGGAACUGCCUUUGAUACUGGAAGUCUUGAGUAUGGUAGAGGUGAGUGGAAUUCCGAGUGUAGAGGUGAAAUUCGUAGAUCUUCGGAGGAACACCAGUGGCGAAGGCGGCUCACUGGACCAUUACUGACGCUGAGGUGCGAAAGCGUGGGGAGCAAACAGG
rnacentral:rRNA from 1 species